UACGGAAGGCAGCAGUGGGGAAUAUUGCACAAUGGGCGCAAGCCUGAUGCAGCCAUGCCGCGUGUAUGAAGAAGGCCUUCGGGUUGUAAAGUACUUUCAGUCGUGAGGAAGGUGUUAAGGUUAAUAACCUUAGCAAUUGACGUUAGCGACAGAAGAAGCACCGGCUAACUCCGUGCCAGCAGCCGCGGUAAUACGGAGGGUGCGAGCGUUAAUCGGAAUUACUGGGCGUAAAGGGCACGCAGGCGGUUAAUUAAGUUGGAUGUGAAAUCCCCGGGCUUAACCUGGGAAUGGCAUUCAAGACUGGUUAGCUAGAGUCUUGUAGAGGGGGUAGAAUUCCAUGUGUAGCGGUGAAAUGCGUAGAGAUGUGGAGGAAUACCGGUGGGCGAAGGCGGCCCCUGGACAAAGACUGACGCUCAUGUGCGAAAGCGUGGGGAGCAAACAGGGAUUAGAUACC
rnacentral:rRNA from 1 species